GUGUUUGUGUGUGUGUGUGUAUGUGUGUGUGUGUGUGUGUGUGUGUGUGUGUGUGUGAGGAUCAGAUUGUGUUCAGGUGUGUCAGAGUGAAUCUGAUCAGCAGGAAGGAUCAGAGAGGUAAACACUCAGUUUGUUCCAGUCGAGCACAAACAAAGAAAGAGAACCGGUUCAGUGUGAUGACAGAAGAGAAACUGCAGCAGGGGGCUUGUUGGUGUCAGACUCAGCAUGUGUGAUGUCGAGGCUGCAGCCUGCAGCUGCUGCAGGAGCUCCCAGAUCUCCCAGAGGGCCGAGCGGCGGCGGCCAGCUGCAGAUGAGGAUCAGAUGAGCCGACUGGAGUUUACAGCCAUUUACCUGCUGAUGGACAAACAGCUGAUGGACUUCAACUUCCACCUGGAACCUUCAAACACAAAGCUGGUGUGUGUGAGGACCAGCAGUAUGGGUUACCCUCCAUGUUUCUAGACUGGCUGACAAGGUUCUGAUGCUGAGAGGAGGAACGGCUCUCUACUAAACGUCUGAUUCAUGUUGUUCCACGUGGACAAAACUGCUCAUUCAAAGACGUCGAGGAGCAAAAACUGUCACAUUUAUAUUCCAACAAGUCUGUUUGUUUCAGUUUUAAAACGUGUUCGUCAAACAGUCUCAGUUUGGUGACAAAAUGGCUCGAUGAGGUUUAAGAAAAGAUGAGGGUUUAGGUUCCUUUAAACUUGAGCUCAGUGUAUAAAAUGAGCUGCUGUGACCUCGAGGAUAAUCACAGCCUCAUGAAACUUUACAACCGUAAACUAGAGACCUGAAGCAUUCAGAGGAUGGAUGGUUUUACACACUAGAUGCACAAUAAGGGUGUUUCUCCGUAGUUUAAAGAACAGAAGUGUUCCUCAUACAGUCGCAGAAAAAUGCAAUUGCUUGCGAAAUCUCCGAAACAUCUAAACUUAUUGAAACCAAAUCACAGCAUGAAUUUUUAAAUGGUGUUCCUCAAGGUCUUGGUGUCUUAAUUUUUGGAUUCUGGAGAGACUUUAGCCAAUUCUCGAGUUAAAAAAAUGUUAAAUGUAUCACCAAAUGUGUAUUCGGUCCGUUUACCGUAGACAGAAACUGUAAAAACAGGCAGUUAUCGAGUUUACAACACAAGAAUACAAUCGCUGAAAAAUGACAUUUUUGCAGAAAUCUACAAAAUGUCAAAAGUUUUUGAAGCCAAAUCACAGCAGGAUUCUUCUCUCUGGUGUUCCUCAAGGUCUUGGUGUCUUAAUGUGAUAUUCUGGAGGGUUUUUGACCAUUUUUUAUAUAUUCUCGGGUAAAAUUAUUGCAGAAUUCAGCACCAAAUCUUUGUAACAAAUGGUACAAACCUGGAAAUUGUUGCAACAACUUAUGGGACAAAGUUCAGCUGGUGAUGGACUUCAUAAAGUAAUUUCAAAAUGUAUUACAUAUGAAUAUUUGUGCAUCCUGGGCUCCCUAUAGAAACAGUCUGUGAGCUGCAUAAUUAGUACUUGUCAUAGUUACAGAAAAUGCAGAAAUCUCCAAAAAGUGAAGAGUUUUUGAUGCCAGAUCACAGCGUGGGUUGGUCCAAACGUCUUGGUGUAUUAAUGUGAUAUUCUGGAGGGUUUUUGACCAUUUUAUCCAUCCUUGUUCUUCGUGUCUUAAUAUGGGUUUCUAGAGGAUUUCUGACCCUUUUUAAAUUCAUUCUUGAGUGGAAAAUAUCAAAAACUUCAUCACCAAAUAUGUGUAACAAAUGGUAUAAACGCAGAAUCUGCUGAUUUUCUGUGUUGUUCCAAAGGUCUUUAUAUAUUGAUGUUAUAUUCUGGAGGGUUUUUGACCAUUUUCAUCCAUUCUCCCUAUAAAAAAAAAUACAAAAUUCAGCACCAAAUGUGUGUAACAAAUGAUAUCAACCCAAAAAUAGACAUAGUUGAACUGGAAAUAGACAAAAAACAAUAUUCUGAACCCUUUUACACUCUAAUGGGCAUAAUUAAGUGACUAAUUAAGUCAUCUUUGUUAGAGAUUUAUGACCAGAACAACUUGAGCUUUUACAUGAUGUCUAACACUUGUAUGUGGCAUUUAUUGUUGACCUGCUAUCUCCCCCUAAACAUCCACUGCCCCAGCUCUCUGUCAGGUUAAAAUAAGUAGUUAAGUAGCGUUAAAUGUAAUGUAGUUACUCACAGAAGUUUAACUCAGAAUAAAAACCUAUACAAGACGAGUCUUGCGAGUCCUUUUGACGCGGACUUUAUCGCUCUUUACACUGCAAAAAAGGUGUCUAAAAACAAGAUAAAACACUAAAUCUGAGGGAAUUGAUCUUGCUGCAUGGACAGAUAAUUUCACUUGACAAGAUUUCUUAAAUUAAGAUUGUUAAAUAUACACUGCAAAAAAAGAAAAGUUGGGUGAACUCAAAAUUUCAAGGCAACAAACUUCGAUAAAAUUUGAAGUUGGACAGUUAAACUAAAUAUUUUCAGUUUUGUUUUUGAGUUUUCUCAACUCUGAAUUCAGAUUUUUGUCAACUCAACUGUAAGUUGUACUAACUUAUAAUUUUACAUUGUAAUAACUUUUAAUCCUUACUUCUGCUAACUUCUGCAAUGUGCUGAAUUGGCACGAUUGUAACGCCGCUAUGAAAUGUCAGCUAAUGUUGCUACCACAAUUUUGAGUUAGCAUUGAUACGCUAAUGGCUACUCUUGUAGCUGUAACAAGCAGCGCCGCUAGCAUCAGUUAGCCGCUAGCAUCAGAUAGCCGCUAGCAUCAGUUAGCCACUAGCAUCAGUUAGCCGCUAGCUUUCGCUAAUGACCGAAUUUCACCCCUUUUCUGCAUUUCACAACAAAGAAAUAAGAGUUAUCAGAACUAUUGUCCCUUGUUGUGAACCCCAACUUAAAGAUAUAAGUAACAACAACUCAACAACUUGUUUUUGA